rnacentral:lncRNA from 1 species
GCCCGUGCGUCCGUGGCACGGAACGGCCGUUAGUCCCGGCAGAGGGCUCCGCGAAGACAGUGCCGUCGUUGGGCGCGCGCGCGGGCGGGAGCUGUCGGGGCGGGGCGGCACCGCCGAGCUCCGAGCUGUGAGGACCGCCCCGGGCCUUGGGCGGGGCGGGGGCCAGGGAAGGGCGUGCGCAGGAUUGGGGAGCACGUUUUGCGUCUUGCUGUGCGUGAGGAAGCGGGGAUCCAGGUCAAGGCUAUGGAAAGGUCAGGGAAGGGUGUCAGUGCGCCCGUCCUGCAGGGAGUCCAGAUCCGAGAGGUUAGGGCGGGACCUGGGGCGAGCUGGGCGGUGGGGGAACAGUGGGGUCAUCAGGAGGUGGAGGCCCAGCGGGAGUGUGGCGGGGGAGGCGGGGAAUCAGGAGGGCCAGGUGUUUGGAGGCGCUGGGGUGGGAAGGGUCCAGGCGAGGUUGCGGGUGGGUGCCAGCCCCGUCUCACAUUUGGAUGAAGUAGGAAAAGGCAGCUUUUAGGGUACACCCUGACAUGUUCUGUCAGGGCCCUUAAAGGGCCCACGGGCCGGAGGAGAGGGGAAAAGGAUGAGGGCUCAGCCUGGCAAAGGACAGAAAGUGGUGGGUGUAGGAGGUGGACCUUGGUCUGGUGGCCUAGCCUGCCCUGUGCUCCCUGCAAUGCCGGGUGACUUGGGUCACUGGGCGGCCAGGCCAGAGGUGGGCCUCUAGGUGCCCCCCAUUCUGGAUGCUGAGGGUCCCUGUGAGGGUCUGGCGGCAGAGGCCUGCGCUUAUGGGUCAGCAGCUAGGACUGAUGGGUUGAAUAAGAAGGGCCCAAGUUAGGCCAGUUGUUCUCACAGACCCAGAGGUCCCUAGAGUUUAUGAUGCCCAGAGUCUAGGAGAGGGAAAUGCACACACAUGCCCUCGAGGACACCAGCAUCCUGACAUCCAAGUUACUGUACUGCCCUGGUUAGCAAGAAAGAACAUCUGUUCCCUUCUCUAUGCAAUUGUUACAGUAACUGUUGUUACAUUUCUUAAGAUACAUAGCUAUAUAUGUAGUCACUCUGCAAACACACACACUCUGAUAGACACACGAUUGCACUCAUGGACACAAAAACGGAAAAUAAACAUGCGGACAGCUACUCCCAGUCCCCAGACCUGACCCUCAUGUGACACCUUCACCAGACAUGGUACUUUCUGGGACCUGUAAUGUGUGUUGUGAUGCCCAGCACAUUUGUUGGAUGGUACAAAGGGAAUUAUGAUACUUAAUCAAAAAGCCAUACAAGCCAGAUAACAUUAAGGCUUAACGGUAACAAUAGGUGAUUCAGUUAGGAAAUUAAUGUUAGAGAUCGGUUUUCCUUGUGGAAAUCAGUGGUAUUCAAAUGCCUGAAUUGGCUACCCGGUUUUAGAGCUGCUCUCCAUGUAUGAGCAGGACAUAGGAUUCACUCUCUGGAAUGCUUCUGUAGGCAGGACUUUGAAAUGACCCUGUCCUCAGCCUGGAGGAUGCGGUAUUCUGAUUGUCUGGUGCUGUGUCAACUGGGCCUGCCUCUGGGAUAGUGUUGUGGCUGCCCCACGAGAACCCUAUAUGCCAGUUCCAGAAGCAAAAACAAAAAAAGUUCGGGUACAGCGGCUCACACCUGUAAUCCCAGCUCUUAGGGAGAUGGAAACUGGAGGAUCACUUGAGGCCAGGAGUUCAAGACCAGCCUGGGCAACAUAGCAAGACCCAGU